rnacentral:pre_miRNA from 1 species
AUUAUCUGUGGACCUUGUUAAAAUGCAGAUUCUGAUUCAGAACAUCUAGGAUGGAGCCUAAGAUUAUUCAUUUUUAACAAGUUCCCAGGUGAUGCUGU